UGGUUAAUUGAAAAGGGCUUUUGGUGGAUGCCUUGGCAUCAAGAGGCGAAGAAAGAGGCGUGAGACUGCCAUAUGCUCCGGUUAGCUGUCAACAAAGCUGUGAUCCGGAGAUUUCUGAAUGGGGCAACCCACUUUGGUAAACCCAAAGUAUUCCCACCUGAAUAUAUAGGGUGGGAAGGUCAACGGCGUGAACUGAAACAUCUAAGUAGCGCUAGGAAAAGAAAACAAUUGUGAUUCCCUAAGUAGUGGUGAGCGAAAUGGGAAUAGCCUAAACCUACAACAUGUCAAGCUGAUACGCGUUGUGUUGUGGGGGUAGCGGGAUGCGACGUCUGAUGAGUAUCAUCAUCGGGUCGUGGAUUUUCAAGUUAGUUGAAGAGCUCUGGAAAGGGCCGCCACAGAGAGUGACAGCCUCGUAAAUAAAAGCUUGAAGAUAGCGAUGUUUGUAUUCCCAAGUACCGUAGAGCACGUGAAAUUCUGCGGGAAUCUGCCUAGACCAUUAGGUAAGGCUAAAUACUCCUUGAUGACCGAUAGUGAACGAGUACCGUGAGGGAAAGGUGAAAAGAACCCCGGGAGGGGAGUGAAAUAGAACCUGAAACCAAAAGUCUACAAUCGGUGGGAGCGAUGUAUACGUACGCGCAACCACGUACCUUUUGCAUAAUGAGCCAACGAGUUAUCAUACAUUGCAAGGUUAAGCUUUGAAAGAGCGGAGCCGUAGCGAAAGCGAGUCUGAAUAGGGCGAUUAGUAGUGUGUGAUAGACCCGAAGCCCAGUGAGCUACCCAUGUCCAGGGUGAAGUCCCAGUUAAAUGGGAUGGAGGCCCGAACCGGUGUAGGUUGAAAACUGCUCGGAUGAGAUGUGGGUGGGAGUGAAAGGCUAAUCAAACUGGGAAAUAGCUGGUUCUCCCCGAAAUAUAUUUAAGUAUAGCCUCGCGGAAUUUAUCAUGGAGGUAAAGCACAGUUUAGGACCUGGGGGCGCAAGCUUACCAGACCUUUACUAACUCUGAAUGCCGUGAUUUUAGAACGCGGGAGGCGGACUGUGGGGGCUAAGCUUCAUAGUCGAGAGGGAAACAGCCCAGAUCAUCAGAAAAGAAGUGAAAAUACACAGACAGCCAGGAGGUUGGCUUAGAAGCAGCCAUCCUUUAAAGAAAGCGUAAUAGCUCACUGGUCAAGUGUUUUUGCACUAAAGAACGAACGGGGCUCAAGCAGGCUACCGAAGCUAUGGCUUGUUUUAAAACUUCGGUUUUAAUACAGGGGUAGGGGAGCGUUCUUUGGCAGAUACAAGUUUGACCGUAAGGACAAAUGUGGGCCAAAGAAGUGAGAAUGUUGGUAUAAGUAACGAAAAAACAGGUGAGAGUCCUGUUCGCCGAAAAUCUAAGGUUUCCGAGAGAACGGUUCAUCCGCUCAGGGUUAGUCGAUGCCUAAGCCGAGGCCAAUUGGAGUAGGCGAUGGGUAACAGGUUAAUAUUCCUGUACCGCGUAUAAGCGUUUGAGCGAUGGGGUGACGCAGUAGGGUAGGCCGAAUUGGAAUGUGGAUUGCCAAUUUAAGCACUGAGGAGGAUCUCAUAGGUAAAUCCGUGGGGUCGUUAACUCUGGGGUGUAAUGAGCAUACUAAGUCCUAGUGACUUGGUGUGUUUGGCUGAUCUCACACUGACCAGAAAAACCUCUAGCGAGCUAUAUACGUGAUCGUACCGCAAACCGACACAGGUAGAUGGGCUGAGAAUGCUCAGGCGUUGAGAUAAAUAUUGUCAAGGAACUCGGCAAAAUGGCCUCGUAACUUCGGGAUAAGAGGUGCCUACGUGGUGAUUGAGUUUACUCAAAAGCUACUGUAGGCCCAAGCGACUGUUUAACAAAAACACAGGGCUCUGCUAACUCGUAAGAGGAUGUAUAGAGUCUGACGCCUGCCCAGUGCCGGAAGGUUAACAGGAGAUGUCAAUCCGUAAGGGUGAAGCAUUGAAUCGAAGCCCCGGUAAACGGCGGCCGUAACUAUAACGGUCCUAAGGUAGCGAAAUCCCUUGUCGGGUAAGUUCCGACCUGCAUGAAUGGCGUAACGACUUGGGCACUGUCUUGAUGAUAUACUCAGUGAAUUUGUAGUGCAGGUGAAAAUGCCUGCUACCCGCGAUUGGACGGAAAGACCCCGUGCACCUUUACUGUAAUUUGGCAUUGAUUUUUGGAAUGAUUCGUGUAGGAUAGGCGGGAGGCUUUGAAGCGGAGGCGCCAGCUUCCGUGGAGCCAACCUUGAAAUACCGCUCUUAUCCUUCUAAAAAUCUAACUUCGAGACCCGUAAUCCGGGCGGAGGACAUUGCCUGAUGGGCAGUUUGACUGGGGUGGUCGCCUCCUAAAGUGUAACGGAGGCAUUCAAAGGUUCCCUCAAGACGAAUAGAAAUCGUCGGAAGAGCGUAAACGCAUAAGGGAGCUUAACUGCGAGACAAACAGGUCGAGCAGAUGCGAAAGCAGGAGUUAGUGAUCCAGUGGUUCCGAAUGGAAGGGCCAUUGCUAAAUGGAUAAAAGGUACGCCGGGGAUAACAGGC
rfam:Candidate division TM6 bacterium GW2011_GWF2_43_87 TW09_C0002, whole genome shotgun sequence.